UGGAGUCAACUCAUGAGACUAUGAAAUACACGUAUUAGCAAAGUGUUGUGUUAAGAAAACUGUGACUCCCCCAUUCAAAGUAGCUUUUGAAGACACUAGAAGUACUUUUGAAAGCCAAAAAAGAUGAACCCUCACAAAGCUGAAAACAACACUGCAGACGUCAUCUAGGUGGAGUCACUAACAACUGAAAGAAGACAGAGUUUAAGGGAAAAAACCCAUAAGCUUUGGCACAUGAAACAGAGACCUCCCUCCUGAAAAAUAAAAAUGAAAUUAAAUGAUUAUGCUCUCAUUGCUAAAACAGCAAUGUGUAUGACCUGCACCUCUGCCUUGCUCGUAACACUAGUGACGUAGCUGGUCCCUGUGUGCUGAUUCAGGAGGAGCCCAGCCAGCCUAGGGAAGUGGCUGAAGAGGCAAGGAGGAGGCAGUGAACAGUUUAGGAACGAAUCGGCCCCUGGGCACGGUGUAGACGGGACGUGUGGAUUAAGAGAACGUGAAAUUUGGCAAUUGACCCUGGCGGCUUGGACUAAUCCUUACUUGAUCAUUCUUUUAUUACUCUACUGGGUCCCAUUUGCUAAUAUGUUAUCUAGACUGUGUUUUAUUUACUUUUAUAAGAUUGGUCUGUAGUUUGCUUUUGUAGUGUUUACUUGUUUAAUUUUGUUAUCAGCAUUAUGCUAGUUUCAUUAAAUGAGUUGGAUAGCUUCCCAUUUGUUUUGAUGCUUUGGAACAAUUUAUAUAAAUUAGUUAAAAUUUUGAUAAAUAAAGCAGUAUUAUCUCUUCUGGAAGUUUUGGUUGAGUGGCCCCUUAAGCCUCCAGGUUUGGG
rnacentral:lncRNA from 1 species